rnacentral:tRNA from 1 species
CUCCGCUUGGUGUAGUUGGUUUAUCACGUUUGACUGUAAUAUCUUGCGCUUCUCUCGCCGGAAGCGGUAGUGUAUAUGCCAUCAAAAGGUCCCUAGUUCGAUUCUGGGAGCGGAGA